rnacentral:lncRNA from 1 species
UCAAAUCUCUUAGUUGAUGAUCUCGAUCCAACCUUAUCCCGGAUCAACCUUAUGUUACAUUAUGUCUUUCAUUUCAUGUUUUUUGUUUUCAAACUUGUCUUUUGUUUCUAUUUCCAAGAGAAACCGUGUGCCUUUACUCUCUUGAUAGUUUUCGAGAAGCUUGGAGUCUGUUCCAACUUCUCUUAUAUAAGUGUACUUUGAA